CAGGCUGAAGCCUCACCUGUGGAGUGGAUGCACUGCCCAGGACUGUUUUCCCAAUGAAGACUCCUGCCUGACUGCAACGGGGCUUCCCAGUCAAGACUGAAAACAGGAUGAAGUUUUCUCUUUAUCGGUGGUGUAUACCUUUUUCUUUAAAUGUAAACGAGAAUUUCAAAAGUUAAUACACAAGACGAUUCUGAGCAGAUGGGGAUGGCAAAAUGGGCACAUCAGAAAUGCGGACAUCUGGGAGAAAAAGCCACUUACAGAUUCUAACUCCAUUGUUAAUUGUUGGUGGUAUCGCUGUGCUGUAUGGAGUCCCUUUGGCAAAGUGCGUAACACCAGAAGUAAAAGCAACCAGAGUCAACUCAACAGUAAUUCGGUGGGGGUAGGUUGCUAGUGCACAGAAUAGGACACAAGGUACUUUUACUUGCCCUGCUGAACAAGGAUGGUCUACUGCUAAUUUGACUUCCAAAAAAAUCUAACUAUAUGGAGGGAACAUUUGUAUGUCCAACUACUGGAUAAAUGCAAAAAUAAUGUGUCAAUUUGUAACCUUGCCACUGGUAUUUGAACCUCCUUUGUAUUCAUUUUAAUAUUGGUUACCCCAUUUGAAAGGAAACUACACUGGCUUCUCAAACAGAACACACAAAUUGGAACACUGUACUGAAACAAUAAAUGGACUUAUUUGCUGACAGCAUUCCCCUACAUGUGAACAGUGUUUUCUUCAGCAUUCCAUCAACAUCUGUAAAUGGACUAGAUUACCUCCUACUUUUGAGAUGUUCGUGGAAAUAACACCAAAAUUCAUAUGUUUAGAGGCAAGUCAAACAUUGUUAUAUGCCCUGAAAAAUCCUUUUGUAGGUUGUCUAGGUAAUGUAACUUAUUAUUUGAACUGGCAUAAUGAAACGUAUAUCUUCUCUCCUGAAACAUAUAUUAAUGCAUUUCAUACCUGGUUACCAGACAAGCUGGAAUAUCAUAAUUUAACAUACAACCUAAAUUAUUUACAAAAAGUAUAGAACAAUGCGCAACAUCUUGAAAAACUUUACAGGCAGUAAAUCAUAGUAUUUUACAUCAUAAAAUGACAAGUAUUAUCAUAGAGAAUAAGUUGGAUAGUUUAGCCAAGAAAACAAAAUCUGAUGCAGCACAUAACUGGUGGGAUAUAUUUACUGAAUGGUCAGCAUCUGGCACUAACUUGUUGAAUUGGUUGAUAAAUACACUUAGUUUUGACGAUUAUUUUGAUUUUACUGACAUUCUGAAAUUGUGAAUUAACUUAUUGUGUUUAUAACAAGGCAAAUACAGUUUUGAAUGUCAAAUAUAAGUGAGUCAAUAGUCAAGGGGCCAAAUGUGAUACGAAAGAGGG